AGUGAGAUUCAGUGGCGGGCAGCGGCUGGGGUCUUGCGCUCCUGGCUCUGCGCCUCUCGGGCGAUGCCCGCAGUCAGCUGCAUGGGGUGGUGUGUGUGUAUGUGUUCCUCCUCUAGUAUUUAUGUUCUGAUCUGAAUUCAUCCAGGGUCCAGGAUGGCCAUCCGACACCAAGACCAGCAGUACAGGCCGAGGAUGGCAUUUCUGCAACAGGAAAAGUAAUGUGAGGACCUUCCAAAUCUGUGUGAGGAGAAAGCUUUGAAGCUGGAAGGAGAUGAGGCAUCUACUGGGGAGCAGGAUCAAGGUCCAGGCAGCAGGAGGUGUGGUGCAGCCGGGGGAAAACAUUCUCACCAGCCAGGAUGCAACCACUUGGGAUGCCCGGAUUCCUUUUGAUGUGGUGGAACAGAAAAAAAAAAAAACACAAAAAACAAAAAAUGGGCAACUGAAAUGAAUGGAUGCUUCUCAGAAGAAGGAGACUGAGAAAAUGUUCAAUCUUGCUGGCCAUUAGAGAAACACAAAUUAAAACAAUAUUGAAAUCCCGUCUUACUACAGAAAGAAUGGCUGUCAUCAAGAAAUCAAAUAAUAAAUGCUGGUAAGGAUUCAGGGAAAAGGAAUCCUUAUACAUUGUUGGUGGGAAUGUAAAUCACUAUGGAAAUCGGCAUGGAGAUCCCUCCAAACACUAAAAAUAGAAAUUCCAUUUGACCCAGCAACUCCGCUUCUAGGAAUCUUUCCAAAAGAGUUAAAGUCAUCAUAUUACUGUGAUACAUGCAUGACCAUGUUUAUAAGAGCACAACCUAUAAUAACUAAAUCUUGGAAACAGCUUAUACCAUAUGCAUAUCAACAGAUGAAUGAAUAAAGAAAAUGUGGUAUUUAUGUAAAGUGGGAUGCCACUCUGCCACAGAGAAGGCUAAGUUUGAUUCAUUUGUAAAGUGAAUAUACCUUAAGAUUACAAUGUUCAGUAAAAUAAAGCAGACUGAUAAGUUUAACUA